rnacentral:rRNA from 1 species
UGGGGAAUAUUGGACAAUGGGCGAAAGCCUGAUCCAGCCAUGCCGCGUGUGUGAAGAAGGUCUUCGGAUUGUAAAGCACUUUAAGUUGGGAGGAAGGGCAGUUACCUAAUACGUGAUGGUUUUGACGUUACCGACAGAAUAAGCACCGGCUAACUCUGUGCCAGCAGCCGCGGUAAUACAGAGGGUGCAAGCGUUAAUCGGAAUUACUGGGCGUAAAGCGCGCGUAGGUGGUUUGUUAAGUUGGAUGUGAAAUCCCCGGGCUCAACCUGGGAACUGCAUUCAAAACUGACAAGCUAGAGUAUGGUAGAGGGUGGUGGAAUUUCCUGUGUAGCGGUGAAAUGCGUAGAUAUAGGAAGGAACACCAGUGGCGAAGGCGACCACCUGGACUGAUACUGACACUGAGGUGCGAAAGCGUGGGGAGCAAACAGGAUUAGAUACCCGUGUAGUCCCUGAGCGGGCUGGCAAGGCGCAU